AGAAUCUGCGUUAACUUUGUUAAUCUGAGAUUGUGUUGAAGUUACAUCAGAGCUUCUGAUAGUUCUUAUCUUUUGGGUCAUUAGCGUUGAUUCCAGAGGCGGUUUAGAGCUUCUGAUAUUCUGCUAUGCUGUUUUGCUCAGAGUCAGAACUUCUAGAGCGCGCUUCUUCUUCAGGCGUUUCUGAUCUUCUGAUACUUUGUAUCUGAUUCGAUUCUGUAUCUGAUAAAGCGAUCAGAUUUCUUUGUUUUUG
rnacentral:lncRNA from 1 species